rnacentral:rRNA from 1 species
UACAGAGGUCCCAAGCGUUGUUCGGAUUUACUGGGCGUAAAGGGUGCGUAGGCGGUUAGGUAAGUCUGUUGUGAAAUCUCCGGGCUCAACCCGGAAACUGCAGUGGAUACUAUCUAACUAGAGGAAUGGAGGGGAGACUGGAAUACUUGGUGUAGCAGUGAAAUGCGUAGAUAUCAAGUGGAACACCAGUGGCGAAGGCGAGUCUCUGGACAUUUCCUGACGCUGAGGCACGAAAGCCAGGGGAGCAAACGGG